rnacentral:lncRNA from 1 species
CAUUUCUUUAUACACCUAAGUUGAAUGUGAAGUGUAAUUGAACAGUUUUUGUCGUCAAAAGUUUUAAAAUCUUGGUCUUCAUUUCCAGAUAUCAUCUCUUCUUUUGAUCACUGUUCCUGAUUGUGACAUUGUGCAAGUGUUAAAUUGUGUGCCUUUUGUUCCUGAAGAAAGAGAUGUCUCCUACUCUUUGUGUUGGAUAGGUCCUGGGAUCUUUGAAAUGCUAAGAUUCUUGGAUACCACAGUAUCAUAAAAUUCCUCUAAAUGCAGUAAGUAUACACAUAAGUAUGACCGUAAAUUAGGAAUAAGAUUAUUUAUGUAACUGCUGAAAUAGCUGACAUAGACUAUACCACCUUACAGUAUUGCUUUAAUUAUCAUAAUAACCGUGUUCUUCCCUGAACUUCACCAGCAAAUGGAUUUCUGUUCAGGGCCAUUUUUUUACAAAGGCAUGAAUUUUUAUUUUGUCAGAAAAUAAUGUACAUUGAGUAGAGAGCAGUAGAGCUGAGUUGAGGUACCACGUUAUCGUUUAUGUCAUUAAGUAACUUUUUCCUAUAUAAUAUUUGUUUGACUUCCUACCACGAGAUUCACAUGGGUACUGUGUUAUUCCUGAAGAGAUAAAGUAAUUCUGAAUGCUAAGAAUUUUCCUAAAGGUUGAGCAUCCCAAAUCUAAAAGCCUGAAAUCUAAAAUACUCCAAAAUCUGAAACUUUUUGAGUGCUGACAUGAAGCUCAAAGGCAAUCAUCACUGGAACAUUUUGGAUUUUGGAUAUUCAGCCAGUAAGUAAUGCAAAUAUUCCAAAAUCCACAAAAAUCUGAAAUCUGAAACACUUCUGGUUCCAAGCUUUUUUGUUUUGUUUUGUUUUGUUUUUUUGAGACGGAGUCUCACUCUGCCACCCAGGCUGGAGUGCAGUGGCGCGAUCUCGGCUCACUACAACCUCUGCCUCCCAGGUGCAAGCAAUUCUUCUGCCUCAGCCUCCCGAGUAGCUGGGACUAUAGGCGCAUGCCACCAUGGCUGGCUAAUUUUUUUUUUAUUUUUAGUGGAGACGAGGCUUCGCCAUGUUGGCCAGGCUGGUCUAGAACUCCUGACCUUGAGUGAUCUGUCUGCUUUGGCCUCCCAAAGUGCUGGGAUUACAGGGGUGAGCCACUGCUCCCGGCCUACUUCCAAGCAUUUUGGUUAAGGAAUAUUCAGUUUGUACUAUUUGACCCAGACUACUCAGAAAAAGUAAUGUAAUGAAGAAUGAAAGCUGUAGUUGUAGUGAAGUAAAUAGGAGACUGCUGUGUGAUGACUGACCAAAACGAUUUGUAUUAAUUUAUCUUGAAAACUUGUGAGCAAAGUCUGACUAAAAAUUUAAAGUUGUGACUGGUAUGGCUGCAUGAAACAAGUGUCAGAAUAUUAGAAUGAAGGUACAUGAUGUGAAGUUUCAGAAAAUUAAGUGGGCUUCACAUAGGUCUCAUUUCAUGAGGAAAGUCAGAUAAUUUCAAAAUGUAGUAAGCUUAUCGUCAAUUCCUGAUUAAUAUUGGUUUGUUGAAGGUUGUGGCUGGUAAAAGACAUGUCAUAUAUUGUUUUUGUCAACUCAGUAUCUCUUCAUUAGAGAACCACCCCUCCCCUAUUCUGAGUGGUUGGUGGGCUGUCCGUCAGUCUUACUGUCUUAUAACCUGAGCUUGGUCAUCCCUAUUGCAACAGUGAUUGCUGUUACUCAUGCAGAGCCAGUCAGAAUCCUUUUUUUGAAAUUUAUGGUUGAAUGCUAGGACAAAGAUACUACCUUUUCUCUGAAAUUGUUAAUCUGGGAAGGUGCUGGUGGCAUUCUUUACCACGUGUAUGAAAAGCGCAUCUGUGUAGUGGGAGAAAGUGAAGCCAUAAGGAGAUGGGAGAUGGAUGGUGGUAGUGCCAGUUUCAAUCUCAGGGAACAUGGUAAGUGGUACCUACUUUUCUUUUGAUUUUGUGAACUAUCCUGGUGUCCUUCUCAGUCCUUGUGCCAAAAUUUUUUGUGUAAAUUGGUUUGAAUUGGAUUGCAGCAGAAAGUGUUCUGAUGAAUAUAUGGCCCUUAUGAAUUUAAGGUCUAAAGUUUCAGAUUGAUCAUUCACAUCCUUCUGUAGUUCCCCACUUUCCUAUACCUUAUAAAGAGUUCCCUUUAUUUAUUCAUCAUUUGUGCAUGCAUUCAAUCUACUUUCACUCAACCUACAAACAUUUUUUUGAGUGUCCACUAUGUACAAGUAUGUGCAACUGCCUGGAUAGGCAAGAUUAUAUGUACUAGACUGAGUGGAUGGUGGAUAUAUAGCAUAUUUUUAUUUAUUUCUGGUGCACAGAUUAAUAAGCGUGUGUUGAGAAUAAUGACUGUGGUGCUUGGCAUCUAAGUAAUAAUGUAAGAACAAGAAGAAUUCCUUGUCUUGGAAGUGCUUCUAGUUAGGAAUUCAUAUUAAUAUACAGCAAACACAACAGAAAAAACAGAUAAAUGAAUGCACAGUUGUAUUUUAAGUGAAUUUUGAUGGGAAGGAAGUGAGCAGGUUGGCCCAUUUAGGAAGAUUUCCUGAAGAAUAUACAACUUUAAAUGUAUUUCUGCUUAUGAAUGUGGCUUUGAUAGGCACAGAGAAUAACUGAAAAAAGGAUGGAGUUAAAAAUGAUUAUAGGCUGAUCCAGGUUGGAGUGGAGAUUGGUUUCACUGUAACAGUAUGUGUUCUUUGGAAAUGAGGUAGUGGAAAAUAAGGUGACUGUUUUAGGUAAAUCUAUGUAUGAGGCAUUUGGAAAGCCAAGCAGAAAUUUUGGCCCUUUCUACUAAGAUGGAGAUUUCUUUGAAAAAAUGUGUAUAUUUCUUUUCAUAUAAUUUCAUUUUUGUAUGCUAAAAUGUGAAUUAAAUGUGAUGAAAUACUGUAAAAUUACUCAUUUUGGCAAAAACCUUUGUUUUAUUCAUCUGUCUUGAAGAUUUUUUAAAAAUAGCAAUUAACUUGGAAUGCCGAUUUAUAAAUAUGUAUAUAUAACCUUUCUCAAAAAGGGAAAGGUAAGAAGAAAUGUUAUAUAUAUUUAUUUAUUUCUUCUUACCUUUCCCUUUUUGAGAGAUCUCUUAGUAAUAGUCAAAGCCAUACCCUAUUCCUUAGUGAGAAAGCCAGUUUGAAACGAAUGUAGCAAUAGAUGUAAAAACAUUUAAAGGCGUUUUAAUGUGGCUUUUUAAUGAGCUGGCUUAUGCCUGUAGUCCCAGCACAUUGAGCAGCUGAGCUGGGAGGAUCGCUUGAGCCCAGGAGUUCAAGACUAGCCAGGGCAACAUAGUGAGACCCCAUCUCUAUUUAAAAAAAAAUGUUUUUAAAGAUAAGGAACAGACUUAAAGUGAUGAUUGAUUGCUCAUAGAACGUUCAUUUUGGGCUCCAGAACUAGGAAUGAUGUAGAAUUUAUUGUUGUGUCAUUGUCUCAUUAAAUGCUGUAGUUUCCUAUGUCCUUGCCUACCUUCUUUCCUCAGAGCCUCGCAUCUGACCCUCAGAGAGUAGCAGUUGGAUUAUUCCAUUAUACCAAGGUUGGCAAGCUUUUGCUGUAAAUGGCCAGAUAGUAAAUAUUUUAGGCUUUGUGGGCCAUAUGGUUUCUGGUGCAACUAUUGUAACACAAAAGAAGCCAUAGGCAAUAUGUAAAUGAGUGAGUGUGGCUGUAUUCCAGUGAAACUUAAUUUACAAAAACAGGCAGCAGGCCAGAUUUGGCCUGCAGGCCGUCAUUUCAUUCCACAAACUCUCUCAGUCACAUCUGCGCACCUGCUAGCAUCUUUAUUUAUCCUCCCCUCUAGUUACUAUAGAUGGAUCAUGUUUGCUCCUUUCUAAGUUCACCUCUUCAGCUCGUUCACUAGAUUCCGUCCGUUCUAACCUGAAGGACUUCACUGCUGCAUUUCUUUCCUAUCCUUUAUCAUCAAUUUUUUUAUUUUUACUAGAUCAUUUUAAUAAGCGUGCAGUCAUACUGUAAUUCCUCCCACCUUUAAAAAACAAAAAAUAAAUUGAAACAAAACAAAACAACUCCUUUAUCUUAAAACUCCUUGAAAGAGUUGUCUGCACUGCAUCACUACUUCCUCUCUUCCCAUUUUGCCUUACAUCCAAGCUUGUCAGCCUUUCUCCUCUAAAACUCCACUGAAACUGUUCUAAUCCAUGGUACCAGUGAUCUUCACAUUAAGUCUAGUUAGUCAUCUUCUUACUUGACAGAGUUGUUCAAUCCCUUAUCCAGUAAACAUUUUCUUCAUUUUGCUUUGAGGAUACCACAUUCUUGAUUUACCUUAACUCUUAUUGGUCAUUUCUUUUCUGUCUCACUUGCUGGUUCUUUUUAAUCUCUUUCUGUUGGAUGUGUUAUAGAAUCUUGAGGCUCAGGCCUUGGACUGCUCUUUUUGUUUAUUCCCCCUGGUGAUUUCAUCCUGCUCCAAGUACUUGAAAGUACAUAUGUACAUAUACACACACCGAUAACUCCCCAAAUUUCAUCAUCCACCUAGCCCUCUGUAUUCUAUAUCCAGCCACACAGUCCACAUUUCCUCUUGGAUGUCAAAUAGACAUCUCAGAUAUUACAUGCCUAAAAUGGAACUUUUGAUAAACUUUCCUAUUACUUUAACAAUCUUUUAUAUCUCGGUGAAUAGCAACUCAGUUCUUUCCAAUGCUGUCAGAACUUCUAGAGUUAUCCUUGACAUGUCUCUUUCUUUCAGAGAAAGCAUAUCAGGAUAUCUUGUAGGUGCUAGCUUCAAAAUAUAUUCAAUCUGACCAUGCCUCAUUGUCUCAGCCAAACCACCAUCAACUCUUACUUGGAUAAUUGUACUGUGUAGUCUUUGUCUUUACUCUUAAUCCCUCCUGAAUACUCUGUUCUUAGCAUAGCAGCCCAAGUGAUAGAAGUAAUUCGACUCAUGGUAAUUCUCUGCCCACAAUGCU